rnacentral:rRNA from 1 species
UACGUUGGGGGCAAGCGUUGUCCGGAUUUAUUGGGCGUAAAGAGCUCGUAGGUGGUUUGUCGCGUUGUUCGUGAAAACUCACAGCUCAACUGUGGGCGUGCGGGCGAUACGGGCAGACUGGAGUACUGCAGGGGAGACUGGAAUUCCUGGUGUAGCGGUGGAAUGCGCAGAUAUCAGGAGGAACACCGGUGGCGAAGGCGGGUCUCUGGGCAGUAACUGACGCUGAGGAGCGAAAGCGUGGGGAGCAAACAGG